CUCUCUCUCUCUCUCUCUCUCUCUCUCUCUCUUAAAAAUACGGUGAAGGAGGAGAAGACAAGAAGGACAUGAAGGAAUCGCCGGAAUCAGCGCCGUUUCGGCUCAUGUGAGCUACCCCACGACGUUAUUUAAAUAUCAAAAACCACUACCUUAGUUGUACAACGAAAGUCACUCAAGCAGAUUCCAGGAGAACAGAAGUCAUCUUCGGAAAUUUUAUUUAGAUUUGGAAGCCGUGCUUUUACAGAAUGGAUGUUCAUGUUAGAGGUCUGGAAAGACAUAUUGCAGCGAGCCAGAGACUACGCUCCCUAUAUAAUGAUGCGUCCCAAAUUAAAUUGUCCGAUAUCCUUUAGUAGAAAUUCCCGUUAGUGUCUUGCAUCAUCUAGUGUAUGUGUUGUUUAAUUUUGUGCAAGUAUAAUUAUGCAAAGGCACAUUUGUUGA